AGUUGAGCACGAACAAUGGGAACGAUAUGGGGCCAUUAGUUAGGGGUGGAGAUUGGGGUGUAGAAUAAGCGUGGAAUAUUGUACUAGAAUUAAUUGUAAUAACCACUCCCUGUACCAUAAAUAUACAUGUAUUCCCUCUAUAAAUGGGGAUGUUUACCUGCUUUGAGUGUGCAGGCUAGGAAGGAGUUAUCCCCCGUGUACCCGUGCUGUACAGGAACAUAAGUACUGGCUGAACUGUGAUGAAUGUGUCAAGACCCUGAGUGCACCAUCAGAUUUUAAUGACCAUUAUUAGCCUCAUCUGUGAAUUCCCCUCCAUACCCUCAGUCCAGGGCCCAGAAAUCAUGCUCAAGGUUAACCAUGGGAUUUCACACCUCCCAGACUUGUGUUAUAGAGGAAGAUGUUUUUAUAUGCAGCCUGGUUUCUUCUUUUUCGUUCCUUCUGUGUUACAUGAGAUGGUAGAUGGGAAUAUGCAGCCAGAUGAUAGUAACUUAUUACUGAUCUGUCACAGUUGUUGAGAAGUCUUUCCAGCUAACACUAAAACCUCUCUUCCUACAAAGAAAGAAGAAAGCUAUAAAUGAAUAUUGGCUUUUGCUGUGAGCAAAAUGCUUGUUUUUGAUGGUAGAAGAUCAGACCUUUCAGUCUUGCCUGCUUGCCUUUCUUGAUCAAGAUGAUGCAAAGAAGCAUUGGGAGUCAGAAUCAGGAGACAACAAUUGCUGUUUCCAUCUUGCCUAAAGGUUUCUGGUCUGGAAGUGGAGUACUGUCUGUGUUGAAGACUGACUCAAGUCCUGCUGCCAAUGAGAAUGACUGGAACUGCAGUCACCCAUACUUCAAACGCUUGGCUGAAGUUUUGAUAGAUUCUGGAUGUAUUUAUUCUUUGAAUAAGAACUUCUGUGGUAUUG
rnacentral:lncRNA from 7 species